UGUAGCUAGAUAUUUACGUUCAGUGGGAGCCGCCCUUCAUUCACCCACAUGGUUACCAACUGGUCGCCUUCGCGCCACUUUCCUAACCCCACAAUCAUUUAAACCAGCGUAUCUGCGCUAUAGAUUGACUCACGGUCGGUUCGGAUUUCACUUUAUGUUUCGCUUUUGUCCGCCGGUAGGAAAGUUUUCGGAAUAGUUACGUAUUUAUUUCUCUCUUUUGUCGGUGAGAGACUACACGGCAGCCCAAGCAAGUGAGCGAAGAUGGUGGAUUUCGGCUGAUCCACCAUGAAGUGCAGUACCCCACAGAAAAUUGAUACCUGGAGCAGUGUGACCGUCGUCCCCAUGGUGCUGGAGGCCAGCGAUGCUGUAAUCAGUCCGUGUAUUGUCAAAGUGCUUACAGUGCAGGUGGGGAUUAGUAGCAAUGCUGUGUACCUGGAGGUAUUGCACUUGUCCCGGCCUGUAUAGGAACGAGGAGAUGGAGCUGACCUUGAUCCUUACCUAGUGUUUAUCAGAAAACUGCUGCUGAUGUCCUGUGAUGCUUUGGUCUGCAUAUGCUCAAAUGAUUAUUAAUGGUGUUUUUUUAAAUUGGUUAAUUGUAAUGUUGCUUGGUAUAUAUUAAAUUGUUUACACUUUUUACUUUCUCUGAAUGUUUUCUUAUGCAAAUCUCACAAUGGGUUACAGGCA